rnacentral:rRNA from 1 species
UACAGAGGUCUCAAGCGUUGUUCGGAUUCAUUGGGCGUAAAGGGUGCGUAGGUGGCGCCGUAAGUCGGGUGUGAAAUUUCGGAGCUUAACUCCGAAACUGCAUUCGAUACUGCGGUGCUUGAGGACUGGAGAGGAGACUGGAAUUUAUGGUGUAGCAGUGAAAUGCGUAGAUAUCAAGUAGAACACCAGUGGCGAAGGCGAGUCCCUGGAAAACUCCUGACACUGAGGCACGAAAGCUAGGGGAGCAAACAGG